rnacentral:rRNA from 1 species
UACGUAGGGGGCAAGCGUUGUCCGGAAUCAUUGGGCGUAAAGAGCGUGUAGGCGGCCCGAUAAGUCCGCUGUGAAAGUCCAGGGCUCAACCCUGGAAUGCCGGUGGAUACUGUCGGGCUCGAAUCCGGAAGAGGGGAGUGGAAUUCCUGGUGUAGCGGUGAAAUGCGCAGAUAUCAGGAGGAACACCAAUGGCGAAGGCAGCUCGCUGGGACGGUACUGACGCUGAGACGCGAAAGCGUGGGGAGCAAACAGG